rnacentral:rRNA from 1 species
UACGUAGGGUCCGAGCGUUUGUCCGGAAUUAUUGGGCGUAAAGGGCUCGUAGGCGGUCUGUCGCGUCGGGAGUGAAAACUCAGGGCUCAACCCUGAGCGUGCUUCCGAUACGGGCAGACUAGAGGUAUGCAAGGGAGAACGGAAUUCCUGGUGUAGCGGUGGAAUGCGCAGAUAUCAGGAGGAACACCGGUGGCGAAGGCGGGGUCUCUGGGGCCGUAACUGACGCUGAGGAGCGAAAGCAUGGGGAGCGAACAGG